UACGGAGGAUGCGAGCGUUAUCCGGAUUUAUUGGGUUUAAAGGGUGCGUAGGCGGAUCGUUAAGUCAGUGGUCAAAUUGAGGGGCUCAACCCCUUCCCGCCAUUGAAACUGGCGAUCUUGAGUGGAAGAGAAGUAUGCGGAAUGCGUGGUGUAGCGGUGGAAUGCAUAGAUAUCACGCAGAACCCCGAUUGCGAAGGCAGCAUGCCGGCUUCCGACUGACGCUGAAGCACGAAAGCGUGGGGAUCGAACAGG
rnacentral:rRNA from 1 species